rnacentral:rRNA from 1 species
GACAGAGGUGCCAAGCGUUAGGCGGAAUCACUGGGCUUAAAGCGUGUGUAGGCGGAUUGCUAAGUACCUUGUGAAAUCCCACGGCUCAACCGUGGAACUGCUUGGUAUACUGGUUAUCUUGAGCCACUUAGGGGCGAGCGGAACAAAUGGUGGAGCGGUGAAAUGCGCAGAUAUCAUUUGGAACACCAAUGGUGAAAACAGCUCGCUGGGAGUGUGCUGACGCUGAGGCACGAAAGCGUGGGGAGCGAACGGG